GGAGAGUUGGCCGAGUGGUUGAAGGCGGCUGCCUGCUAAGCAGUUAUACGGUGAUUAGCCGUAUCGAGGGUUCGAAUCCCUCACUCUCCG
rnacentral:tRNA from 1 species